AACCUCAAGCCCAUCUUUCUCACCCUUCAGCUGCUCAUUCUUCUCAAGCAGACUAACACGGACGUGCUGCAGCUCAUCCAUUCCCUUCAAAGCAACAAGCUCAUAAUCCAACCUCUUGAUCUCCUCGGCUGAGGAAUAAGCUUCAGCUGCCAUAAUCUUCGCCACCUCCUUGACAGCCUUGCUAUAUAUGCAUCAUAGCAAGCAGAGCAGUCCUUCUAUAUUAGGUC
rnacentral:lncRNA from 1 species